UUGACCUCAAAUCGGGUGAGACUACCCGCUGAACUUAAGCAUAUCAAUAAGCGGAGGAAAAGAAACUAACAAGGAUUCCCCUAGUAACUGCGAGUGAAGCGGGAAAAGCUCAAAUUUAAAAUCUGGUGGUCUCUGGCCAUCCGAGUUGUAAUUUAGAGAAGCGUCUUCCGCGCUGGACCGUGCACAAGUCUCCUGGAAUGGAGCGUCAUAGAGGGUGAGAAUCCCGUCUUUGGCACGGAUGUCCCGGGGCUUUUGUGAUG
rnacentral:rRNA from 1 species